CCUACGGGGGGCAGCAGUGAGGAAUAUUGGUCAAUGGACGAGAGUCUGAACCAGCCAAGCCGCGUGAAGGAUGACUGCACUAUGGGUCGUAAACUUCUUUUAUAAAGGAAUAAAACGAGGCACGUGUGCCUUUUUGCGUGUACUUUAUGAAUAAGGAUCGGCUAACUCCGUGCCAGCAGCCGCGGUAAUACGGAGGAUCCGAGCGUUAUCCGGAUUUAUUGGGUUUAAAGGGAGCGUAGAUGGGUAGUUAAGUCAGUUGUGAAAGUUUGCGGCUCAACCGUAAAAAUGCAGUUGAUACUGGCAGUCUUGAGUACGGUAGAGGUAGGCGGAAUGCGUGGUGUAGCGGUGAAAUGCUUAGAUAUCACGAAGAACCCCGAUUGCGAAGGCAGCUUACUAAACUGUGACUGACAUUGAUGCUCGAAAGUGUGGGGAUCGAACAGGAUUAGAUACCCCAGUAGUC
rnacentral:rRNA from 1 species